GCCUGGAUAGCUCAGUUGGCAGAGCGUGCCCUUGGUAAGGGCAAGGUCUUGGGUUCGAUCCCCAAUCCAGGCUCAA
rnacentral:tRNA from 5 species